CCUCCAGGGAGGGUAGAGGGGCUGGGGGUCAUCAUGUUAAUCUCCAACGGUCAAUAUUUAAUCAAUCGUGCCCACAUUGUAGAACCACGAAAACCCUAGAUGAAGUGAUUCAGAGCUUUCAAAAAAAGAAAAAAGAAUUCAUGGAAAAAAGAGAAAGUCCCACAGUUGGGACAAAAGUUCAGGGAUGACUCACGAUCAGUGCUGUGUCUCAUACAGAGAGCUAUAAAAAGAAACACGGAAUGAAGUUACACCCUUCUUUUGGAUCAGGAAAAACUCAGUUUUAAGUAUAAAAGGACAUUAACAUAUUUUAAACAGUUUAAUAAAUUAAUAAAUGAAACC